UAUCUCUGGGAUGAUGACCAAUGUUUAAUCCCAGCUCUAUGAGACCUUUUCAAGGUCUGGGAAUGGAACUAUGAACAUGUAUCUGAUCCGGAAA